GCUUCCUGCCUUUUCCUCGGCCUGGGUGCCCGGCUCGCGCCGCCAGGCUCUGGGAUCCCAGGUCGCCCCGCCCAGCAGCCCGCGCCCUGCUCAGUAUUGUGUUGGCCGCGUGCCAGGCCUUGGAGAACAGCACGUCCCCGCUGAGCG
rnacentral:sRNA from 1 species